AUCGAGUGUGAGGUUAGACCGGUCACAAUGCCCAUGGAGCCUCUGAAUGUGGAUUAAAUGAACUAUAAACCAAAUACAAAGACAGAAAUGAAUCAUCUCUUGACCAGUCAAGCAAAAAAUCUUUUAGAGAUUCUUUACCAUUUAAAAAUGAACCUUUUGCAAAAAUGCCCACUUGAACAUCAGUCAUCUAGACUGAUCUUGAAAAUAUGUCAGAAUCUAUUAGUUUUGUUAAUGCCCCUUUGGGCAAGGUAUGGUAUACUUAAAUUAUAUUCCUGUAAAUCUAUAAACAAUGUUAAAAACAAAGGUUUUCCAGUCUAAAAAUGUCUGGAUUGGGGACGUUUUUCAAAACAGCAUAACACCUGUUCAUUGCGCCUUAAUUUUAACCAAGAAUAAAAUUGCGUUCAUGUUGAAUGUAUGUAAAUAUUUAUAUUAUUUGUACAUGAGAUUGUGCAUGCUUUAGGAUUAUUUACAUAGAAUUCUCUUUUUACAGUUUUAACCAAGCAUUUAAGUUUCACUGAGUAAAUUACAUUAUUUUUGUAUUUUUGCAAUGUGUCUUACUGUAGGUAAUUUGUUUAUGGCAUAUGACGAUAUUUAAAAUUACCAUGGUGUUGAAAUAAACUGUUUUUAUUUCUACUUAAUUGUGCAAUGAAGAAAAGAAAAUGUCUUUGUUAUUUAAAGAAAUAAUUUACACAAUAGUUCACAAUAGUUCUGUCUUCCUCUCUCCAUGUCAGUCAAACCAAGUAUGAUUUUUUUCCCUUCACAUAAACACAAAAGAAAGUUUAGCAGAAUGCCCAGGCUGCUUUUCCAUACAAUUACAGUUAAUGUUUGCCAUGGUCUUGUCAAGCUCCAAAAAGAGAGUAUAUUUCAAGUCUUUUGAAAGUAUAUGAUAGUGUAUGAAAAGAGUAUGUGGGGAGUAGAUGACAGUAAUUUUUUUGGUGAACAAUCCCUUCAAGUAAUCCUUGAUUGGCUAUGGCACAGAAUGCAAGAUAUAUAAUGUAUUCAAUUCAUUGUCUUCAAAUUACCAUUCCAUUAUUUAAUAAAACAGAUGUUUUUGUUUUGUCAUUAGGUUUAUUCACAAAAUACCAUAAAGUUAUUUGCUAUUACCACAUCAAAUAGAACAUAAAUAGUCUUCAAAAUACUGCUUUUCAUUUUAAAUUUUGUAGUUUUUAUCUUAUCAUUUUAUAUUUAGAUGAAGAGAGUAUAUUAUUUUUGUCUCACUCACUGUUCCUCCCCCAGGCUCUCCAGUAUCUAUCUCCCUCAGAAUACAAAAACCAUUUAAGGGUUAAACACAAGAGUUCAAUACAUGUAAUGUAAUAUAGAUUAAACAGCCUGACCCCAUAUCUCUGUCACAGCCUCAUAAUCACAAGUACGCACAGACACACACUCCAGGCAAAGAUAUAUCUCAUAACCCAUGACUUCACAUCUGAACGAGAGUCACGCAGUGCUGCUGUUAUGAUUGAUCUGAGAGAUUCAUCGCUGUACGGCGUUUCCCUGAGGUCAAGCUGCCUCAGAUCAGGUUAGAGAGGGAGUGAACUCCUCACACAUACUUUACAAUAGAGUGUGACCUCAGAUAACCUCAGCGCCUGAAGCAUGUGUGCUUGUGUUUUCAAGGUCAGGGCUCCUCUCCAAUCAGGAUUUCUCAUCUCCUCCAUCGUUUGGUCAAAUAGUGCAUGCGUUGCCCAGCUGAGGAAGUCAAGGUCAGUAGGUCACAAUCGCACACACAAAUCCACACGCACAAAUUCAUUGCAUCUUAAAGUGAGAAAAUAAACAACAGUUUAAUCCUUUAUAAAUCUGAUUAAUAAUCAUUUUACACAAGUAAACAAGUCCUAAAUGAACCACAUCAUGCCAGAACACCAACACGGGAUCCGUCUUUGCUCUGGGUUUGACAACAAGGGCUUUCUGUCUGAUUCGGGGCAAGGCUGCGGACUGCAGUGACAACCACACGUGGAGUGAAAUGAAAUGGAAAUGACUGUUUCUGGGCUGAUGGGAGAACUCAUUUAUCAGUGCUAAAGUCUUGAGUAAUACCGCUUUCUCUUCCUGUGCAUCCCGCUAUGGCCAAGACAAGCAGUAAGUGAUCUUUUCUUUCUAGAAUGCCCUCCUGUAGUGGUAAUCGCUGGAGCUCUUUAACCAUACAAGAGCAUCUAUUAACAGAGAUGUUCUGCUUCGAGCUGAGGCAGGUCAAAGGUGGAGCGGGUUAAUAGAACGAGAGAAAAACAGACAGACAGAGCAUGAAAGUUUCAAAUCGGAUAGAUUAGGCUCAGCUGGGUGUUGUCUAUAUAAACAAGUUUCUUUACUUAGAAUCGUAUAUUUAAAAUAUUGCUACUUAUGAGUUUAGGAAAACUACAAUUAAAUUUUAGUUGGAAUAAAAAAGUUUCAUAUUUAUUUAUUUUGUUUUAACUGAUUUUUAUUUUACUUUACUUUACUUUACUUUACUUUCAGGUGUUUUACAUUCACAUGCGGCCAGAUGUAAUGAUGGCAAAUUCAUCCCAUAAAAAUACUGAACAAUUACGUCAUCGGUUGUGUUUGAAUAACUUUGGUCGGAUCAAGAUGAUGAUGUAACUUUUCUACAUAAAAUGUAUUUUUUUAGUUUAAUUCAAAAUAUUUUUUAAUUCCUUUUUUAACUCUAUGUCUACAAAAUGAUGACUGUGCAUAGGGUAUGUUUUUGCUUUUUUAUGUUUUUAUUCAAUUUAUUUAUGUUCUGUAAAUUGAAUCAUAUAUUCUAUCACAAUUGUUCAAUACUAUGGUGUUUUGUAUAUGCAACUUGGUUUCAUUUAAAAAAAAACAUACAUUUUAAUAAUUUAUUACAUCCUAUGUGUUUUCUCAGUGAUGCCCUCAACUUGGAAACUAAAGAAAAUCACAUUCAUAAUUGAUGGUCUUAUUGGUAGAAAUUAGUAUGGUUGCCUCAGUCAUUUAUGUUCCUUCUAGUCUUUUGGAAGAUGUCGGGACUAAAUUGGGCCACAGUUUUGCUACUUGGCUCUGAUUUUGCAUAUUUUACCAAUCCUGGCUGCCAACUUAUGAAAGUAAAGAUGCUUUUGCCCAGCUACCAUGUGUUCGGUUGGACUGCGAUCUGAAAUGUUUUAUAUUCAUCUCCUUUGUUUAGUAUUGCUUACUGCUCAUUUCAUCAUUACAGCAUCACAUUGUCUGUGAAAAGCUGGUGCUUUAACACAAAACCAAUAAUAGGUAUGUAAUAUGCUUAGUGAAUUGAAAGUGCUUUAGCUGCACUUUCUUCAGGUAAAGUUGAGUAUAAUACCAUAUAUAGAGUAUAUGCAUAUGAUGGUGAACAGUUUUGAAAACAUUAAUUUUGUGCAACUGACAAGAACAAUGUAUGCAGACCUAUAGCAUCGUAUAGUAUAGAAUUAAGAUGUGCAACCCAUAAUACAGACUCUGCUGUAGGUCAGUCCACUCAUGAUCUCAGAAAGUGCACAUGUUUGCAGAUAUGAGUGCACACGUCCUGACUCAAACUAACUAAUGCAUCUUACACUCUCCCAGUGGACGCAGGACACACGAUGACCGUGUCCUCUACAGGACAAAGACAAAAAGAUGAUUUAUGAGACCUGGAAUGAAAGCACAUAUCAUUUCAAGCAGCAUUAUCAUAACCGUAUAAUGUUGCUUCUGCUCCAGCUGAGAUCUGAGUAUUUGAGGAAUUUGUGGUUGUAUCAUCAGUAGUUGUGUUCAGUGUUUUUGUGUUAUUUUCUCCCGCGGUGAAUCCGGCACACAGGGUUCAUGAAUUCCUUACGGCAAGCCUGCGGUAUUCCAAAAGCCUGUGGAGAGGAGAAAAGACGGAUAUAGAUAAUUAUAUGAUCUUCAUGUGGAAUGGAUGUUCUACAGUAUUCUGCUUGAAUUAAUUUUUCUUUGAAAAAGGAGAAAUUUUGUGUUGGUUUCUUAUUUAUCAUUCUAUGCUCUGUUGUUGAGUUUAUAAGAGCACUUGCUCUCUCGCUCUCUCGCUCUCUCUUUGUUAACAAAGCUGAUGAAUAUUUCAGACAGUACGUUUGAGAGUUUUUAAAGCUUCAUGGUUUAUUUAAUAGCCAGAACAAAUUGGAGCACCUAUCACAAUAAACCAGUGGAAAACUAGAGGCCAG
rnacentral:lncRNA from 12 species